rnacentral:rRNA from 1 species
UGGGGAAUAUUGCACAAUGGGCGAAAGCCUGAUGCAGCAACGCCGCGUGAGUGAUGAAGGUCUUCGGAUUGUAAAGCUCUGUCUUUUGGGACGAUAAUGACGGUACCAAAGGAGGAAGCCACGGCUAACUACGUGCCAGCAGCCGCGGUAAUACGUAGGUGGCGAGCGUUGUCCGGAUUUACUGGGCGUAAAGGGUGCGUAGGCGGAUGUUUAAGUGAGAUGUGAAAUACCCGGGCUUAACUUGGGUGCUGCAUUUCAAACUGGAUAUCUAGAGUGCAGGAGAGGAGAAUGGAAUUCCUAGUGUAGCGGUGAAAUGCGUAGAGAUUAGGAAGAACACCAGUGGCGAAGGCGAUUCUCUGGACUGUAACUGACGCUGAGGCACGAAAGCGUGGGUAGCAAACAGGAUUAGAUACCCUGGUAGUCCACGCCGUAAACGAUGAGUACUAGGUGUAGGAGGUAUCGACCCCUUCUGUGCCGCAGUAACACAUUAAGUACUCCGC